rnacentral:rRNA from 1 species
GCCGCGGUAAUACGAAGGGACCUAGCGUAGUUCGGAAUUACUGGGCUUAAAGAGUUCGUAGGUGGUUGAAAAAGUUGGUGGUGAAAUCCCAGAGCUUAACUCUGGAACUGCCAUCAAAACUUUUCAGCUAGAGUAUGAUAGAGGAAAGCAGAAUUUCUAGUGUAGAGGUGAAAUUCGUAGAUAUUAGAAAGAAUACCAAUUGCGAAGGCAGCUUUCUGGAUCAUUACUGACACUGAGGAACGAAAGCAUGGGUAGCGAAGAGGAUUAGAUACCCUCGUAGUCCAUGCCGUAAACGAUGUGUGUUAGACGUUGGAAAUUUAUUUUCAGUGUCGCAGCGAAAGCGAUAAACACACCGCCUGGGGAGUACGACCGCAAGGUUAAAACUCAAAUGAAUUGACGGGGACCCGCACAAGUAGUGGAGCAUGUGGUUUAAUUCGAAGAUACGCGCAGAACCUUACCAACACUUGACAUGUUCGUCGCGACUUUAAGAGAUUAAAGUUUUCGGUUCGGCCGGACGAAACACAGGUGCUGCAUGGCUGUCGUCAGCUCGUGUCGUGAGAUGUUGGGUUAAGUCCCGCAACGAGCGCAACCCUCACUUUUAGUUGCCAUCAUUAAGUUGGGCACUCUGAAAGAACUGCCAGUGAUAAGCUGGAGGAAGGUGGGGAUGACGUCAAGUCCUCAUGGCCCUUACGUGUUGGGCUACACACGUGCUACAAUGGUAUCUACAACAGGAAGCAAAACUGCGAAGUUAAGCAAAUCCUUAAAAGAUACCUCAGUUCGGAUUGCACUCUGCAACUCGAGUGCAUGAAGCUGGAAUUACUAGUAAUCGUGGAUCAGCGUGCCACGGUGAAUGCGUUCCCGGGUCUUGUACACACCGCCCGUCACACCAUGGGAGUUGGUUCUACCUUAAGCAAGGUUUAAAACCCUUGACCACGGUAUAGUCAGCGACUGGGGUGAGUCGUACAAGGUAGCCGUA